UACGUAGGGACCAAGCGUUGUUCGGAUUUACUGGGCGUAAAGGGCGCGUAGGCGGCGUGACAAGUCACUUGUGAAAUCUCUGGGCUUAACCCAGAACGGCCAAGUGAAACUGUUGUGCUAGAGUGCAGAAGGGGCAAUCGGAAUUCUCGGUGUAGCGGUGAAAUGCGUAGAUAUCAGGAGGAACACCGAUGGCGAAGGCAGGUCUCUGGGCUGACACUGACGCUCAUGCACGAAAGCGUAGGGAGCAAACAGG
rnacentral:rRNA from 1 species